CCUACGGGAGGCAGCAGUGAGGAAUAUUGGUCAAUGGGCGCAAGCCUGAACCAGCCAAGUCGCGUGAGGGAAGACGGCACUACGGGUUGUAAACCUCUUUUGCCGGGGAGCAAGCCUGAGCACGUGUGCCCAGGCGGGGAGUACCCGGAGAAAAAGCAUCGGCUAACUCCGUGCCAGCAGCCGCGGUAAUACGGAGGAUGCGAGCGUUAUCCGGAAUUACUGGGCGUAAAGGGUGGGCAGGCGGCUGAGUAAGACAGAUGGGAAAUCCCCGGGCUUAACCUGGGAACCGCAUAUGUGACUGCUUGGCUAGAGUGCGUCAGAGGGAGGUGGAAUUCCACGUGUAGCAGUGAAAUGCGUAGAUAUGUGGAAGAACACCGAUGGCGAAGGCAGCCUCCUGGGACGCAACUGACGCUCAUACACGAAAGCGUGGGGAGCAAACAGGAUUAGAUACCCGAGUAGUC
rnacentral:rRNA from 1 species